GGGGGCGUAGCUCAGUUGGGAGAGCACGUGCUUUGCAAGCAUGAGGUCGUCGGUUCGAUCCCGAUCGCCUCCACCA
rnacentral:tRNA from 1 species